GCCAGCAUGGCAUAGUGGUUUGAGUGUUGGACUACGACUCUGGAGACUAGGGUUCAAUUGCCGCUUGGCC